CAUGCAGGAAAGAAAAGAGGUGAAGGGCAGGCUGAGCAGGUCAGCGUACACACCAAGCGUUCAUUCUGCUUCUCAGAACCAACACCAGCAGAUGAAAAUAAUGUGUGAGGCCUAGGUUCUGCCCCAGCACCAUAAAACAAAACAA